UACGUAGGUGGCAAGCGUUGUCCGGAUUUACUGGGCGUAAAGAGCGCGCAGGCGGUCGUUCAAGUCGCGUGUGAAAGCCCCCGGCUCAACUGGGGAGGGUCACGCGAUACUGAUCGACUCGAAGGCAGGAGAGGGUAGUGGAAUUCCCGGUGUAGUGGUGAAAUGCGUAGAUAUCGGGAGGAACACCAGUGGCGAAGGCGGCCAACUGGACGAAUACUGACGCUGAGACACGAAAGCGUGGGGAGCAAACAGG
rnacentral:rRNA from 1 species